rnacentral:rRNA from 1 species
AUUGAACGCUGGCGGCAGGCCUAACACAUGCAAGUCGAACGAGUGGCGGACGGGUGAGUAAUGUCUGGGAAACUGUCCGAUGGAGGGGGAUAACUACUGGAAACGGUAGCUAAUACCGCAUACCAUCGGAUGUGCCCAGAUGGGAUUAGCUAGUAGGUGGGGUAACGGCUCACCUAGGCGACGAUCCCUAGCUGGUCUGAGAGGAUGACCAGCCACACUGGACCGGAGACACGGUCCAGACUCCUACGGGAGGCAGCAGUGGGGAAUAUGGCCCAAGGGGGGCAAGCCGGAUGCAGCCAUGCCGCGUGUAUGAAGAAGGCCUUCGGGUUGUAAAGUACUUUCAGCGAGGAGGCGUUACUCGCAGAAGAAGCACCGGCUAACUCCGUGCCAGCCGCCGCGGUAAUAC